rnacentral:rRNA from 1 species
AUUGAACGCUGGCGGCAUGCUUUACACAUGCAAGUCGAACGGCAGCGCGGGCUUCGGCCUGGCGGCGAGUGGCGAACGGGUGAGUAAUGCAUCGGAACGUGCCCAGUAGUGGGGGAUAGCACGGCGAAAGCCGGAUUAAUACCGCAUACGACCUGAGGGUGCAAGCGGGGGAGCGAAAGGCCUCGCGCGAUUGGGGCGGCCGAUGUCGGAUUUGCUAGUUGGUGGGGUAAAGGCUUACCAAGGCGACGAUCCGUAGCUGGUCUGAGAGGACGACCAGCCACACUGGAACUGAGACACGGCCCAGACUCCUACGGGAGGCAGCAGUGGGGAAUUUUGGACAAUGGGGGCAACCCUGAUCCAGCCAUGCCGCGUGCGGGAAGAAGGCCUUCGGGUUGUAAACCGCUUUUGUUCGGGAAGAAAUCCUCUGGGCUAAUACCCCGGGGGGAUGACGGUACCGGAUGAAUAAGCACCGGCUAACUACGUG